ensembl:lncRNA
GGGUCUCUCUCUCUCUCUCUGUGUGUUUGUAGUCUCUCGAUGGAGAGGGGUCAUUUAGCUGGAGGGUCUCUCUCUCUCUCUGUGUGUUUGUAGUCUCUCGAUGGAGAGGGGUCAUUUAGCUGGAGGUCUCUCUCUCUCUCUCUGUGUUUGUAGUCUCUCGAUGGAGAGGGGUCAUUUAGCUGGAGGGGGUCUCUCUCUCUCUCUGUGUGUUUGUAGUCUCUCGAUGGAGAGGGGUCAUUUAGCUGGAGGGGGUCUCUCUCUCUCUGUGUGUUUGUAGUCUCUCGAUGGAGAGGGGUCAUUUAGCUGGAGGGGGUCUCUCUCUCUCUGUGUGUUUGUAGUCUCUCGAUGGAGAGGGGUCAUUUAGCUGGAGGGGGUCUCUCUCUCUCUCUGUGUGUUUGUAGUCUCUCGAUGGAGAGGGGUCAUUUAGCUGGAGGGGGUCUCUCUCUCUCUCUGUGUGUUUGUAGUCUCUCGAUGGAGAGGGGUCAUUUAGCUGGAGGGGGUCUCUCUCUCUCUCUGUGUGUUUGUAGUCUCUCGAUGGAGAGGGGUCAUUUAGCUGGAGGGGUCUCUCUCUCUCUGUGUGUUUGUAGUCUCUCGAUGGAGGGGGUCAUUUAGCUGGAGGGGGUCUCUCUCUCUCUCUGUGUGUUUGUAGUCUCUCGAUGGAGGGGGGUCAUUUAGCUGGAGGGGGUCUCUCUCUCUCUCUGUGUCUUUGUAGUCUAUCGAUGGAGAGGGGUCAUUUAGCUGGAGGGGGUCUCUCUCUCUCUCUGUGUGUUUGUAGUCUCUCGAUGGAGAGGGGUCAUUUAGCUGGAGGGGGUCUCUCUCUCUUUGUGUGUUUGUAGUCUUCAGUGUGUAAAAUGUAACCACAGUUAAACAC